GACGGGCGCACCACCGGCCUGUCUCAGCCGCCGCGUCGGCGAGGCGGAGCAAGAGCGUACUUGUUGGGACCCGAAAGAUGGUGAACUAUGCCUGAGCAGGAUGAAGCCAGAAGAAAUUCUG
rnacentral:rRNA from 1 species